UCUUGUUUUAAUUCAUUUCAUAUUUUUUAAGACUCUUUUAAUAUUCUGUAUUUCCCCAUUGUGUAGUGUGUUCCAUCUUGACUCCCAACACUGCAUACCAGCAUUCGGUAGUGUAUGUGGAUAUAGAAGAGAGAGGAUUGGUUGCUGUUACUAUCAGUGUCAUAAAGUUAUCUGAUGUUAACUGUUGUUGCUAGGCUGAUACAAUUCACACUGAUUCAGCAUGAUAUUAUUCUAAAGGAUGAGGUUCACUAUUUGCUUUAUUUUGUAUAAGUGUCUAUAAUUUCAAAGCUUUUAAUUUCAAAUUUCAACUGUUUGACUUUGGCAAUUUCAGCUCAGUUACUGUUUUAUAGUUUCCCAGUUACCUAUAUAUCAAUGUCCGAUAUCAGAAUGGUAUAAAGAUAAACAUCGGACAUCAAAAGGACAUAUAGACAAAUAUAUCUGCCUUUUGGUUCUGUGUUGCAUCAAAACUAAAUAAAUGAAGGCAGUAUUGUUAGUGCAUCCUGGUAUCAUGUAUCCUGACUUCUGAAUGGCUUGAAGCUUUCAUACACGAUGGAAGUGUCAACACACGUUACAGAUAACACUGACUAUUUCUUUCUUUUCAUACAGAUCUCAUUUGAAUACUGUUUGUAUUUUGCUUACGUUUUUCCAUGAAAAUAAUCAAUAUUUGAAACUUACUCAGUGGUAAAUAAUGACAUUGUUAAUGAAUAGCCAGUUUCAGAUUUAGCAAUGAAUGAGUGGAUAUUCACAGUGUCACUGCUAGCUGUGAUGACCAAGCAUUGAUGAACCGAUACUGGACACACCUCCACAAUAGCUCGUCACUGCUUCACAGUGGUGCAGCCCACCUGUUAAAGCUGUUGUCCUGAUUUCCCAAGUGUGACUGUGUUUGUCCCCCAGCAGUGAUUUGACAGGGAUACAGCUGAAACCCAUUUCGCUCACACAGAGAAACAUGUUAUCUGACGCUUAUGCUUUAAUACUGACCAAGAACUAUAUUGCCUAGAGGAACUGGGUACGUACAAAAUCUUACAUGGUUUUGAGAAGGUGUGUAACAAUUCAUUAUUUGUUUACGAAUAUUAUUGGUUGGUUUCCGAACGUUUUACAAAUGUUUUGGCAUAAAAUCCACUGUUUAUGGAUUAAAAUAAUAUUCAAAUUAAUAAUAUUUUUCAACUUCUAAACUGGUACUUUUGCUACUCAAUUUCAAAGGUAUUACUCCCCUUUGUUUGAGUAAUAAGUUAGUCAGCACCAUACAACAUGAAGCGCUCUGACAGACACUGUCCAUAACUACUCACCCCUGAUUACAAACCAUUUUAAGCCAGGCAACUUCACUGCUCAUGCUACAAAAUUAUUCUGUUUCACUGUUCUCUUCUUAUUGAGGAUGUGGUGAUGUAAGGAGACAAAGAUUGCUGAAUGUUAUCCCAAGACGAUGUUGAGUAACGUAUUUACAGUUGUCAACGUGUCCCUCGCUGCAACCGGACAAGUUGCCCUGUGUAGUGUUUCGAGAGAUAUUAACUGAUGGCAGUUAUUUGUGAACGUAAGUUGUGAACGUAUAUUUAUACCAUUGCAGCUAGUUUAUGCUGGGCAUUUACCUACCCCUGACAUCCGUUGAUGUAACUUGUUGGUGGCUGACUCCCUCUUGUGUAGAAGGGAGAAGUGCAAUGUAUCAUCCUUUAGUGUCGUAUAACAUCACACAUCAUACAUGUAUUUACAUUGGACAUGGAACCUUUGGAAUAAACAUAACAAAGUC